rnacentral:tRNA from 1 species
GGGGUUGUGACUCAGUGAUAAAGCGCUUGCCUAGCAUGUAUGAGGCACUGGGUUCGAUUCUCAACACCA